rnacentral:rRNA from 1 species
GACGAACGCUGGCGGCGUGCUUAACACAUGCAAGUCGAACGGUAGGGCCCUUCGGGGUACACGAGUGGCGAACGGGUGAGUAACACGUGGGUGAUCUGCCCUGCACUUCGGGAUAAGCCUGGGAAACUGGGUCUAAUACCGGAUAGGACCACUGCCUGCAUGGGUGGUGGUGGAAAGCUUUUGCGGUGUGGGAUGGGCCCGCGGCCUGUCAGCUUGUUGGUGGGGUGAUGGCCUACCAAGGCGACGACGGGUAGCCGGCCUGAGAGGGUGACCGGCCACACGGGGUCGGGGAUACGGCCCAGACUCCUACGGGAGGCAGCAGUGGGGAAUAUUGCACAAUGGGCGCAAGCCUGAUGCAGCGCCGCCGCGUGAGGGGUGACGGCCUUCGGGUUGUAAACCUCUUUCAGCACCGACGAAGCGCAAGUGACGGUAGGUGCAGAAGAAGGACCGGCCAACUACGUGCCAGCCGCCGCCGUAA